UAUAUCCACGACCGGAGUCAUUCUUGUUGCUUAUUUUGAUUAUGAUCACGCCACGGAUUCAUAUGGAUAACACCAUCCAAAAUUCUGGUGCAUCUAAAUUAAGUACCAUAUUCAUUUGAAUCUAAAUUUUUUGUGACCUUUUAUAUAUAUAUAUAUAUAUAUAUAUAUAGAGAGAACAGAAGCUAAA